GACGAACGCUGGCGGCGUGCUUAACACAUGCAAGUCGAACGGUGAAGCGCCUUCCUUUUUGGUGGGUGUGGAUGAGUGGCGAACGGGUGAGUAACACGUGAGUAACCUGCCCCCUUCUUCUGGAUAACCGCAUGAAAGUGUGGCUAAUACGGGAUAUUCUGGGUCUGUCGCAUGAUGGGUCUGGGAAAGAUAUUGUUUCGGUGGGGGAUGGGCUCGCGGCCUAUCAGCUUGUUGGUGGGGUGAUGGCCUACCAAGGCGGUGACGGGUAGCUGGCCUGAGAGGGUGGACGGUCACACUGGGACUGAGACACGGCCCAGACUCCUACGGGAGGCAGCAGUGGGGAAUAUGGCACAAUGGGCGCAAGCCUGAUGCAGCGACGCCGCGUGAGGGAUGGAGGCCUUCGGGUUGUGAACCUCUUUCGCCAGUGAAGCAGGCCUGCCUCGUUUGUGGGUGGGUUGACGGUAGCUGGAGAAGAAGCGCCGGCUAACUACGUG
rnacentral:rRNA from 1 species